rfam:Mesocricetus auratus contig188806, whole genome shotgun sequence.
AUGGCUCAGUGGUUAAGGGCAUUGGCUGCUCUUCCAGAGGACCUGGGUUCAAUUCCCAGU